AUGUAUUAUAUAACAUAUAUAUAAUACAUAUAUAAUAGAUGUUAUAUAUAACACGUUAUUAUAUAUAUUAUAUAUAUAACGUGUGUGUGUGUAUGUGUGUGUAUGUAUAUAUAUAUGAAGUGUUUAUUGUGUCUCCCCUCCACUAGAGUCUAAGCUUUAUUAAAGCAGGGUCUGAUUUUGUUUGCUGUUGUACUCCCAGUGCCUAAGACUGCCUGGCACAUAGCAGGUGCUCAAUAAAUACUUGCAGUUGAUCAGACAAUUAAAAAAACAAAAGCUAGCAAAAGCUCUGUAUAAGGAUAUAAUAGAGAGAAAAAUAAAUGGCAGAUGAAAAACACUCUCCAGAAAAAUACUGCUUCAAAUAUUUGAAAAUUAUGAUUAAAUAUUUUACAAUGACUUUAAUAUCUUAAUUAAAGAUUCAUCUCUACAAGAACAUACAUCAGAAAUAGAAGAUAAGGCCAGGCACAGUGGUUCAUGCCUGUAAUCUCAGCACUUUGGGAGGCCGAGGCAGGCAGAUCACUUGAGGCCAGGAGUUUGAGACCAGCCUGGCCAACAUGGAGAAACCCCAUCUCUACUAGUAAUACAAAAAUUAGCCGGGUGUGGUGGCAUGCGCCUGUAAUCCCAGCCACUUGGGAGGCUGAAGCAGGAGAGUCACUUGCACCUGGGAGGCAGAGGUUGCAGUGACCCGAGAUGGUGCCACUGCCCUCCAGCCUGAGUGACAAGAGUGAAACUGUGUCUCGAAAAGAAAAAAGGAAGAUACAAUGAAAUGACAAAGAGUGAAAUGUGAGCUGGCAGAACUCAGGAAAUCAAAAAUAACCGCAAAAAUGAAAGUGGGAAUGAUGGGGUAUACAGUGUUUGAAUCAUGAUAAGGGAAAUAAGGAAGAGGAAUCAUAAAGAAAAAUAACAUAGAGAUAGGAAAUGACACAUGCACAUAACUGGAGUUCCUAAAGUAGAAAACGUCCGUCCAUUUUCUAUUUUUAUAGAUGAAAGCACUGAGAAACUUUGCUCACAUGAUAAAAAGUCAAUAAUAGGUUUUAGGAAUGUCAAUCUUCUGAACUCUUAGGCCAAAAAUCAUAGUGAUCUUGCAUCAAAAUUUAUUUUUAAUAAAUUAGCUGACAAUUCACUUGUCUGCUAGUUUCAUUGAGGGCAUCUGACAGAUGACAGAAACCAUCUGACUUGCAAAGGGAGUCAUUCAGGCCUCAACAUAAACAUGAAUGUUUCAAAUUGUCCCUUUGUUUGGACCCAUGAAAUAUUUUAUUCCCUGGGACAAUUAAACACAGUAGGUCUGGCAUGGCUGAGAGGUAUUGCCUUUCCUCUAGUGGGAGAAAGGCUGUGAAAUAAGAGGUAGUUGUCUUAAGGCAGAUCAAUUUAGGAACAAAUACAUAUGGAUGUACAGGAUUGGGAAAUUAUCUACCGAACCCCUUCAUGUACUAAGCACGUACAUCCUACUGGUUAACAAUGCUAAGUACUGCUAACAGGUCAAGGGAAGAAUUUACAAGUACUUAUGUUUUAGGAAAAUGUCAAUAAUUGAUUUGAUUAAAGUUUUCAGUGCUCUUGUGUCUAGGGUGGGUAGGAGCCACACUGGAGUGGAUUGAGGAGGGAGGGGAUGGAAGUAAGAAAUAGAGGCAGUAAUAGAAAAGUUACUAAAAUUAGAUAUAGAUGAGAGAAUUACACCAAACAUAGGUGGUACCUAGGAGCAACUUGCUUAAAAAGAUAUGAAAUACUUGAACAAAUGCCAAAAGAAAAGGGUCACAGAUUAAGGGGGAGGUUGAAGACUCAAGGGAAGAUAAUAAGCACUACAUUCACAAGGUUUAAAAGAUUCAACAGUAGGCUGGGUGUGGUGGUUCACAACUGUAAUCCCAACAUUUUGGGAGGCUGAGGCAGGAGGAUUGCUUGAGACCAGGAGUUCAAGACCAGCCUGGGCAACAUAGCCAGUCUCUACAAAUUAAUUAAAAAAUUAGCCAGGUGUGGUGGCACACACCUGUGGUCCCAGCUACUCAGGAGGCUGAGGUGGGAGGGGCUUGAGCCCGUUGAAGUUAAAGCUGCAGUGAGCCAUGACCAUGAUCAUGCUGCUGAACUCCAGCUUGGGUGACAGAGCAGGACCCCAUCUCGGGGCGGCAGAGGGGGUGGUGGGAACCAGGAGCCAGCACUUACUGAUCACUUAUCUAUGCACUAAGCUUUUUGUUCAUUUUACCUAAGUCUCACAAUAACUAACUAUGCAAAGGGGGUUACUGUUACUAUCCUCAUUUUACUUACCCAGAAAGGAGACCCAGAGAGAUCAACUUAUGCUCAAGGUCACCGAGUUUAGCCCUGUGGUAGAGUUGGGAUGUCACAACCUAGAGCACAGAAUCUUGUCCAUGGCUGUGGAUUUAGUAAGUGAAGUUCAGGGAAUUUGUGCCUGAAGGUCUCUAUUUUUAUGUAAGAUAGAAGGCAAGGACAUGUUAAGAGUGAAGGAAAAAAAGAGGGUAACAAGUUUCAGAGUAUAAGUUUUACAUAGUAAGAAUGGAGAACCGACUAGAGAAAAUAAGGGUAAUGGGCAGUGCUGAGGUCAGUUAAAACCAAUUUUUACUAAUACGGAUUUAUACAUUUGGUGAUCUUUCUCCAGAAAUAACUGGUGAGGGUAGGAGGGCUUGGAUACAUCUAGGGCUGGGAAUUUUCCAGGAAGUCGUUUGGGUUAACAAUCAUGAUACUGAAUUGAUAGAUCAGGAAGCCUAGAUAGGACUUACAGAGGUGGAAACAGACUACGCCCUAACACAGAGCAGGUAUAAAGGAGGAGGAGUUGGUUAGAAGUGAAUACUUUUAUUGAGUGAUUUUAGAAGUUGUUUUCGGAUAUUCCAAGUAUUUAGGAUGUGGCUGUGGUGGAAACAAGUAAUGGAACCAAAGCCCUGUGUGUAAGUAGUCACUGAAGCUAACCAGGUAGCUGAAAUUUAUUUCCCCCAAAUUUACUGAAAGAAUGUGACCUUUGUGCUCUCAAACUGUGGUUCAGGCACUCCAGAAUUUUUUUCUGUACCUUCAAUUCUCUCAGAUUUAAAAAAUUAUACUAGAGAAGAGGACUUUUGCCUAUGAAUACAAACAACAUUGCAAUCUGCAUCUGCAAACAUUCUUUUCAAUAGACGGUUAGGUCAUGGAUACAAGUAAACACUUGGAUAUAAGGCAAACAUUUAAAAGUGCAUUUCAGGUAUUAAGUCAUGAAUGAUAUGGAAAAGUUGCCACUAAACUUUCCACUGAAUAGUGUUUCACAGCACAAAAAUAAUCUAUUUUCCUGAUACUUUUUUAGUAUGGAUACCAAGACAGCAUGACAUCAGUUGUCUAAUUUUUUUCCAAUUUGAUUUAAAAAACCCACAUGUUCAGGCUUAAAAGAUAGCAUUAUGUUUAAUGGGUGCUAGGAAACCAGGCCACAUGGACCAACAGACCUAAAUUUACUCUAACCCUGAAUUUUGUUAGCACCCAAUAAAUGAAUUAAUUGAAAUCUGGAUUUCUCUAUACGGAGAUGAAGAAAGUCUUUUAGUGUAGUUAUUUUAAAACAAGUUGCUCCUAUUUCCUUAUCAGAAACAAGACCAUAUCAACAACCCAACAUUUAAAUAAUGAACUGAAAAUACUUUUAAAAACCAUAAAACUCAUCUCUAUCCCAUUCUUAAGUAAAAAUCAGUCUUCACUUUCUACUUAGUUAUAAGCAAUCCCACAGACAUUUGAAAAUCAGUGGGCAAACUAAAAUUGUUGAAUAAAGCCAAACUUUUUCAAACCAAGUAUUUGUUAAAUGUCAUAUGUAUUGUCUACUAUAAAGUGAUUCAAUAUUUUACUAUAGAGGAUAGCAUCUAUUUUUCAAAAAUGUGAGAAAUUAAAAAAAUAACAAGGCAACAACUUUGGGGUCUGAUACAUGAAA
rnacentral:lncRNA from 1 species